AAUCUUUGGAUCUUGAUCUUAUCCCAAGAUCCAAGUGUUUUGUAUAUCUACGAUAC
rnacentral:tRNA from 9 species